rnacentral:rRNA from 1 species
GACGAACGCUGGCGGCGUGCCUAAUACAUGCAAGUUGAGCGCUGAAGGUUGGUACUUGUACCAACUGGAUGAGCAGCGAACGGGUGAGUAACGCGUGGGGAAUCUGCCUUUGAGCGGGGGACAACAUUUGGAAACGAAUGCUAAUACCGCAUAAAAACUUUAAACACAAGUUUUAAGUUUGAAAGAUGCAAUUGCAUCACUCAAAGAUGAUCCCGCGUUGUAUUAGCUAGUUGGUGAGGUAAAGGCUCACCAAGGCGAUGAUACAUAGCCGACCUGAGAGGGUGGUCGGCCACAUUGGGACGGAGACACGGCCCAAACCCCUACGGGAGGCAGCAGUAGGGAAUCUUCGGCAAUGGACGAAAGUCUGACCGAGCAACGCCGCGUGAGUGAAGAAGGUUGUCGGAUCGUAAAACUCUGUUGGUAGAGAAGAACGUUGGUGAGAGUGGAAAGCUCAUCAAGUGACGGUAACUACCCAGAAAGGGACGGCUAACUACGUG